AUGUUGUCUGUAGCUCUGCUGCUGCUGCUGGCUGCUGGAUCCUGUGUUGAUGGUCAGACUCUGACACAAUCUGAACCAGUGGUUAAAAAGCCUGCAGAGUCCCACAGAUUGACCUGCACAGCCUCUGGAUUCACAUUCAGUGACUACGGGAUGAACUGGAUCAGACAGGCUCCUGGAAAAGGACUGGAGUGGAUUGCAAUUAUCAGCAGCACUGGUGGCACCACCUACUAUUCCCAGUCAGUCCAAGGCCGGUUCACCAUCUCCAGAGACAACAGCAGACAGCAGCUGUAUCUGCAGAUGAACAGUCUGAAGACUGAAGACUCUGCUGUUUAUUAUUGUGCUCGAGAGCCACAGUGACUGGAGUUUCCUUCAGGUUUGGCUUCUGUUGCCCUCCUACUCAGCGUCUGUUUUGACUGACUUUGAGUGA